rnacentral:ncRNA from 1 species
GGAAGGGGAGCUUGUGGACAGGCUGAGAGGAAAUUCUAAAUUUCGACCCUGUAACCUGAUAUGGAUAAUGCCAUCGUAGGGAUUCUGUAUAU